UGAUUAUCCCUGCAGGUCGGGACACUAGA
rnacentral:piRNA from 1 species